UCAAUUUUCUUUUCUUCAGAUCUCAAAAUUUCAGCCAAAUUUUUUCCUCAAUGAUGCAUCUUUCUUCAAGAAUUUCGUUAUUUCUCCAAAUUCCGGAAGCCGACGAAGAUGAAAGUGUUAAUCUUACUGUUCUUGAUUCACAAGCACAAUGAUAUUUCCUCUCAAAACUCAAAUCUACUCUCAACAUCUGCCACGGACAAUCGAUUAGUUCAAAUCUGUUUCCGGUGGGGAAGCUGAAAAUUGAACCCCAAACAAGGAGAAAUCUCUUUGACUCUCCUCAUCGUUCAAUGGAGAAAUCUUCAAUAUCUGAUUUAUAUUUUUAAUGUAAUUACUUGUGUAUUUAUCUAAUUGUUUGAUGUUAAUGGAUUGAUAUGGAUUUUGCCUAUACUUGGAAGAUUUUUAGCUUAAUAUUAGGCUGUUCUGUGUAUUUAGCAGUUAUUGAGAAGUUGGGAAGUGAGAUAGUGAUAUCUGUGCCAUGUAUUACCUAGUUUCUUGUAAUGUAGAGAUUAUCACUUUGUUGUUUUA